rnacentral:tRNA from 1 species
CAAAACAUAGCUUAAAUAAAGCACUUCGCUUACACCGAAUUGAUGUCUACUAAAUCUGGACUGUUCUGAG